rnacentral:rRNA from 1 species
CAGCAGCCGCGGUAAUACGGAGGGUGCAAGCGUUAUCCGGAAUCACUGGGCGUAAAGGGCGCGUAGGCGGUCUGUUAAGUCCGAUGUUAAAGACUGGGGCUCAACCCCAGCAUUGCGUUGGAUACUGGCAGGCUGGACGGUUGGAGAGGCGGGUGGAAUUACCAGUGUAGCGGUGAAAUGCGUAGAUACUGGUAGGAACACCCAUUGCGAAGGCAGCUCGCUGGACAACACGUGACGCUGAGGCGCGAAAGUGUGGGGAGCAAACCGGAUUAGAUACCCUGGUAGUCCACGCCGUAAACUAUGGAUGCUAGCCGUCGGCAAGCUUGCUUGUCGGUGGCGCAGCUAACGCUUUAAGCAUCCCGCCUGGGGAGUACGGCCGCAAGGUUAAAACUCAAAGGA